GAUAGGUUCAAUGGUUUUUUUAAUCAAAACAAAAGCUAAGGUGAAAUUGAAGAAAAUGGAUACCUUGUAUCUAGAAAUUUCUAUGUCACUCCUUUUCCUUUUAUCUCCUUCGUGGACUCUCCCCCGUGAUCAAUAUUUUUUCCUCAAGUUUUCCACAUAAUAUCUCAUAAUUUAGGUUUUAUAACUCUAUUUUUAGAUAAUUGAAUUUGUUUUAGCCGAAUCCCCGCACACGUAUCCAUAACUGGAUCCGUAUCCCUGAAUCUUAAAAUUUAGAUCAUGAAGGAUCCGACCUCUAGAUCCUCACCCAUAUCGGACCCCCGCACCCGAGUCCGAGCAACUUAGUUGCAGAUAACAGAAAAGGUGGAAAGAUUAUGUAUCCCAAAUGGUUACAAUUUUGAAGAUGAUCCUGUCAAUUAUAGCACUAUUUUCCGGAGGAUGCAAAGAUUACAAGUACUCAUAAUUGGUGAUGGAACUUUUAUCUCGGACUGUGCUAUCACUUAUCUUCCUUCCAUCUUGCGGUUUAUUGAGUGGCAGGGGUAUCCUUCAAUUUCAUUGCCAGAGAGCUUUGAACCAUCACAGCUCGUUGUGCUUUGCUUAGAAAGAUGCCGUCUUGCCGAACUUUGGCCAAUAUCAAAGGAAUUGAGCAACUUGAAGCAUUUGAAUCUAAGCUGGAGCAGUGGGUUAACAAAAACCCAUAAUUUUGGUGAUAUGCCAAACUUGGAGACACUAUAUUUAUUCGGGUGUCAGAAUUUAGAAGGGUUCAUCCCUCUCUUCGACAUUGCAGAAUGCUUACUUAUUUGAAUUUGGAUGGUUGUGGUUCUACCUUUUCGGAUGCACAAGUUUAGAAGAAUAUCCAGAAAUCUGUGGAGAUAUGCGGCAUUUAUCACAUCUCUCUUUAGGACCCCUCUGGAUAAGAAGCUUACCCCCGUCUCUCGGCAGCCUUAGAUGUUUGGAUUUGCAAGGUUGUGAAGUUCUUGAAAGUAUUCCGGAUGCUAUCCAAAAUCUUGGAUUUCUUUGGAUUGAAGGUUACAGUAAACUUGCAACGUUGCCAAAUAGCCUCUUUGAAUCAGGUCAAUUGAAAGAGCUUCGUAUAUACAAAUGUUCUGGAUUGGUAGAGUGCCCCAAGUUCAAAAGAAGCUCUUGUGGUUAAAGGUAGAUAGAUGUGAGAACUUAAAGGCUUUAUUCAGAUGGAAUCCCCUCAAGAACAGGAUAUCUAAUUGCCCAAAAUUAGAUACGCUUCUAGAAAUCAGCGAAGAUAUGCAUAGCUUAAAGAGACUGACCAUAAUAUCUACUGGGAUAAGAGAACUGCCUUCAUUGAUUGGGAAUCUGAGCGGCCUCACUGAGCUCUAUCUGGAAGGUUGUGAAGAUCUUGUAAGUCUACCAAACAGCCUCUGUAAUUUGAAGAAGCUUAAGAAUCUUGUUCUCCGCGGAUGCAAAAAACUUGAGAAGCUUCCAGAAAACAUUGGUGAUCUGCAAGAGUUAGAGAUACUUGAUGCAACAUAAAUUGCAAUCUCCCAACCACCUCCAUCCAUCACCAAGCUUGGCAAACUUAGUAAUCUCAAUAUUUUGGUUGGACUUCCCAAGGAUUUAGGAUCUUUACAAUCUUUGAAAAGUUUGAAUGUUAGGGGAAGCAAUAUUUCUUGUUUACCCAAAAGCAUCAAAGAACUCUUAGGGCUUGAAACCUUGGACGUUCAAUUUUGUCAGAAUCUUAAUGAAUUGCCAGGAGAGCUACCGCCAAAUUUGGAGAAGCUAUGUGCAGAUUAUCAUUUAGCCCUGAAGAGCAUCAGAGAUCUACUAAUUAUCUUAAGUUGCAUUUUGUCUCAAUAUCAUGGUGUGGUCAUGAAAAAUCCGAAUACGGAACUAUCUCAAGUGAACAAGUUAAUGUGUUGAAGUCCCUACAACAUUUAAUUAGGACAUGUAUCUAGGUUUUUAUCUCUCCCUCACAUAUUUGAAUGUUGAAUAUUCUUGUCGAAUUGAUUUCUAUUAAUAAUGAUUUGUGUUGCAGUGUGUCUACCACCAAAGGGAUUAUUUUUUCAUUUGAUUUCCCAAAGUGAGAAUUCCUGAGUUGUUCAAUCAUCAGUUUAUAAAUCAAAAUGUGAUCUUAAUUGAUCUGAACCCAUCUUGGUAUAUUGAUAAAUUCAUGGGUUUUUUGAUAUGUUGUGGUCCUAAUAGCGAGUAUUUGGCAGUAGUAGCUACACUAGUCUGCAGAUCUGACCCUGAAAGAAAAUUCCUUGAAGUAUAAUGUCCCCGAAUGUAGGCUCGAGUCUCCUGUCAUGUGUUUCUUCUACAUACCAUUUGAAACAUUGUUGCACGCUUCGACGAUAAAGAAGGGAAGAACCCAAAUGAUUAUUACCUGUUUGAGGUAUCUUCAGUGUACGGACAGGGAGCAUAUUGGGGAAUUUGCCUAGAGUAUGACAAUAAAGAUACUGCAGUGACAACUAAAAUUGGCUGCCUUAUGGUACUUGACUAACCAAAGUCAUCACACACUUCUAGUUCGAAAGCGACUACAUUUCGGAUAUGAGGAUAAAGAUGUAGUGGUGGAUCAAGCAGCAAUGGCAAUUCAAAAGGAACAUGAAUCUCAGAAUGUUGUGCUGACUAGAGUUUGUGAUACCCCUUCAAGGAAAAUGGACGAUGCUUCAAGAAAGAGAAAGAAGAAAAAUGUUGUACUAUGAGAAUGUUUUCAACAGUAGUAGCUACAUUGGUCUGCAAAUCUGAUCAUGACAGAAAACAUUCCUUGAAGUAUGACACGGAGUGGUGGCGCGGGUCUUCUGCUAUGUGUUUCUUCGACAUACCAUUUGAAACAUUGUGGCACACUUCUGACAAUAAAGAAGGGAAAAAUUCCAAAUGAUUACUACCUAUUUGAGGUAUCUUCAGUGUGCAGGAACGAACUAUGUUGGGAAUUCGCCUGGAGUAUGACAAUAAAGAUACUGCAGUGACAAUUGAAAUUGGCUGCUCUAUGGUACUGCUUGAGCAACCAGAACCAUCACGCACUUCUAGACAUUUGCAAGCGUUUGCUGAUCAUAACAUUGCAACAGACAUGGAACUACAUUUGGGCAAUGAGAAUAAGAUGUAGAGGUGGAUCAAGCAGCAAUGGCAGUGCAAAAGGAACAUGAAUCUCAGAAUGUUGAGCUGACUAGAGUUUGUGAUAGCCCAUCAAGGAAAAUGGGCGAUGCUUCAAGAAAGAGAGAGGGGAAGAAAUAGAAAGAAGAAGAGAAAGAUAGCUAGGACAGAUUAGACUAGCUGCUCUCAUUGCACCAAUUAGCUUGCAUGACUUCGAUGGAUUGUGAGAAACCUCUUGCUUUGCUAGAAAAAGGGUUACCCAAAGGAGAAAAUCGAGGUUAGACUUUAUGAUAUCUUGAUAAUUUUUGUGUUCAUGUGUAUUUUUGCACUUAAUUUCAUGUUCCUUGGUUGUACAAAUCAUCUAUGGAAUUGGAUUUUAUGAACAACGAAGAUGUGAUGGAGCAACUACUCCAACAUGAAAGCCAAGCGUGAGGAGCUAUGCAAGUGAAGGCUUUCAAGUUACAUGAUUAACUUUUGGUAUUUCAAGGGACAUGGCAAAAAAGGAGGAAACUGAAAGAUAGUUUCAAGAGAUUGGUGAACUGAGAAGGUUUUAAUCUGAAGACAUGGAGUCAUACAUAACGGUGACUUUUCCUUUCGUACUCAGAGACCUGAUUGGAUUGGUGAACUGAGAUGGUUUAAUUCUGGAGACAUGGAAUCAUACAUAAUGGUGACUUUUCCUUUCAUACUUAGAGACCUGAUUAGAUUGCUAAAAGAGCUAGAUUUCGAGGAUCAGUCCGGAGAGUUGCCAAUGGUUAAGAUAUAGUAAUGGGAUUGCUUCUAUUUACUUCAGUUGCUUUACUAGCAUGCUUUGUUCCGCCAUAAUCUGAAUUCCAAACCUGGUUGUUGUUUAACCAACUAUUCAGCCGAGAUAUCUAAUUGUUUAUAUUCUUGGUGGAUAUAUAGCUGAGAUAUCAUUCUUCUCAAAACAAAGGACCAAAUUUACAAUUUUGAAAGAUUCUUCAAUACUGACAUUGUUUACUUACAUUGUAAAUAAUUAUGUAGUGCUGGUUGCAGCAUUUUUGGGGAGUUAAUAGUCAUAUUGGCUAAUUGCACCACAUGUUUUUACUUC